GACAGAAGAUGUGAGGAAUAUUUGGACUUCGUAUAACUGUGCUGACAGAUAACGGAGCUGUUUUGAGAAGUUUUCCCAAUCGAGGCUUAGUAGAAAAAAAUCGAUACAGCUAUUUUAUUUUUAAUCAUUCCUGAAAUGAUUUGGAGGGAUACGGAUGUAAGAAUGAUUUGGAAAACUCUGUUGCUGAUCUUUUUUAUGAACGUAUUUCCUCCUAAUAAAUGGGGAAAUUCCUUGCGCUAUCAACAUUGGGCCUAUCAACGUAAUACGAGGACAUCCUUGGCCACUGGAUCUACACCAAUAACGUCGAGCUCGGUAUCGAAACUUUCCGAAUGUUGGGACCUCUGCGGAGCGACUCCGGCGUGUUCAGCAUUUUCAUACGACGAAAACGCAUAUAUUUGUUUUAUUUUUGAAAAUACUGAUGAUGUGGUAAACGUUACAAAAAAUCAGAAAUAUUUCGUCGUUCAAACGAGAGUGCAGUAUUCAGAUGCGCUAAAGCAAGCAGAAUUGGUUUGCGAGGCAAACAACUUGGGGUUUCGGUUUAAUUAUCUUAUUCCAACGUGUUACAUGAUAGACACCACACCGAGAACAAAACAAAACGCCAUUACUUUCUGCGAGCAGUUUAAUGGACACCUCUUACGGAUAAAUAAUUACAGGAAACAGAGAUUUGUUGAAGAGUUGAAUCUGAACAGUACAGAUCUGAUUACGAAAUAUCGUGUUGAUGGAAUCUACACUGGAGGUGUGUGGAAAUUCUCAAAUGGGCAGCGUAUUGCGGAAUUUUACUGGUACCCUGGAGAACCAGCUAAAAUUAGUACUCACACUUCAAUUGGCCUCAGAUAUACGUAUUUAGGCAAAUGGGAUGACAUAGCAGAGACAGCAUUGCACGGAUGUAUCUGUGAAAAGGAAAUACUAAUGCAAUAAUAAAGUCAAUGUUUUAAGAAGAUGUUUGAUUGGUUUUAUUGGUUCUGUUUUCUAUUGUUAUGUGUUUGU